rnacentral:lncRNA from 1 species
GGCACAGCCCAGUGUCCCUCUGUCUCAUGGCCAAGAGAAUUUGCUCCUUUGAAACCCCACUCCCACAUCCGAACUGGUGUCCCUCUCCUCCCCCAGCUCCAGGACAGACUCCAGGAAGCUGCCGGCCGGCUGCGGGGACCCCACGACCGGAGGGUGAUGGACAUGGAUGAGGAGAGCAGCAGGAGCCAGUCCCCCUCCAGUGAGUCCCCCCAGGAGGACACGGACAUUCAGCGUGGGGGGAGAUCAGCCCUGGGGCCGGAGGGACCAGGGGGACAGGCUGUGCCCACAGCCGGCGAGGGGACGCUGGGGACACAGCCUGGCUCCCUGGGGAUGCAAGCAGGGAGUCACAGAGCAGCAGCAGCCACCGCCGAGAAGGGGGCAGGCGCUCCCGCCGCCGGGAGGAGGGGGAGUUCUGAUGCCAGUGCCACCACCCCGGGAACGCAGCCGGAAUCCCCUGGCAUCAAGACCCACGUCCCAGGGAUGCAUACAGGAUCCCCCGGCAUCGAGACCUACGCUCCAGGGACACAGCCAGGAAGCCCUGGCACGUCCCCUUUGCAAGAGUGGGCCAUGCCCGUGGGUAGCCCGGGCUCCAGCGGUGUCCCUCACGAUGAGAGGAGCAUCUCCUUUGGGGGCCAGGUGUCCUCCCGGGACGGCCAGGCCAGCGACCUGCAGGAUGAGAAGGGGAAGGUGAGCCGGUGGCAGUCCCCAAGGGGGCUGUGGGGAUGCCAGGAGGGGUUUUUGGGCAUGGAGGGGGCAACCGAAGUGCUCCCGUGCUGGGAUGACACGGGGGCUGUGCCCUGACUCUGCCACCACCACCGUUCCCAGAUCAGGCAGCUGGAAGACGCUUUUGGAAUCCUUGGAGUGUCUGGAGCCGACUGGGAGGUGGAUGGCAGCGCCCAGACCACCCUGCCACCGGGGUAAAAGGAUGGGAGAGGGUUUCCUUCCGCGUGGGGCUGGAAGAGACCUGGGUGGGCUGGGAGCAUCCUGGUUUGGGGGGCCACAGAC